CUUUCCUUCUCUUCCCUCUCCCUCUCUCGUUUCUCUUUCCCCACGAUCUCCAAACCUCGCCUCUCUCGAGUAAACGAAAACCCUAACUCAGUCACAACUAUAACCACCUUUACUUCCAGAACGAACACAGAAGAAUCCCCGAUCUUCUUCUUCUCAUAUAUGGAUGUUUUUGGUAACAAAAUCGACUUCAUAUGAAAUCGCUCAUCUCUUGUGUAAAAAAAUCACUCUUCUCUUUGUCUAAGCUAUCGACUUCAUCUGAAAUCGAUCAAGGGUUUGCUCAAGUCACUGUGUUUUCAUUACUCUUUCUCUAGCAGAUGAAGAUUGAUGAACAAGAUGAAGGAUGCUGGAACUUCUAAAAGAGAACAUGCAGUCAUGGAGAAUAUUAAAGAAGCACACAGGAGAGUGAUGGUGGCUAACCAUCCUCACAAGGGUGGGAGCAUGUAUCUUGCUAAAAAGAUCAACGAGGCUGAGGUACUUUUGAUGGAUGAGUGUCGAUUUCAAUUCUUUCCAUGUGAAGAUAGGGUGUGCUGUUAGGAUUGACAGAUGUUGAUGAUCCUAUUCCCAGAUCUAGUAAUGGCUUGUCUGAAGAAAUUUCUUUUAAGAUUCUGAAACAGGCAGGUUGUCGAGGUGGAGCAAGCAGCCAUGUGGAAGUUUCUUUGGUGGUCGGGAAUCAUACCUGUCCAUGUUAUGGUUGGCCAAAACAUAGAUGAUCACUCGAAACUUUUCUCCAGCACUUCCUCCUCAAGCCUUUGUCUUUUAUUUCCUUCUUGGUUUGCGGGAUGAGUUCAGCUUGUUGAUGUAAUUUUUGCUGAGUGUUUGCAUUUGUCUCUUUGUAAAGGAAGGACUCAUACUGGUUGUUGCAACAAUCUGACAAGAUAUAUGCUGGAGCAUUUUGACAGUGAUUCAGUGAUUCGAAUCACAGUUUGAUUCUUCACAAGACUAAACUUUGUGCUCCUGCACUUGCUUCAUUCAAGGCUUAUUACGAAGGUGAUGGUUUUCCCGAUGUGUUUGAUUUGUCAUUGUUGUCUCAUGUCAGGGUUCGCAAUCUUAUUAGUACCUUAAAGUUUGUAUAGCGUCAGUAGUCUGUUUGGUCUGAACUAACCCAAGAACAUCACCCUAAUAGUAUUGCUCAGCAAAGAACUCUUCUCCCGCUAACCAGAAUCCAUCUCAUUUAUUUUGAUGCUUCUUAUAUAGAAUCUAAUCGUACUAUUAGAAUUGGUAUCAUUCUUCUUGAUAAUGCAGGAAACUUUUGGGGUGCCAAAACAAUCCCAAUCACAACAUGAGAUGCUUAACAUGCUGAAACCAAGGCUCUUCUUGUAGCCACACUACGGGUUAACGAGCUGGAACUGCAGUUUACUUCAAAGGGGACUGAAUCAUUCUGAAGAUGUAUGCUAUGUUCUCUAGUGUUCAAAUCACCAUAGUUAACUAUUGUUGUUAUAGUGGUCUCUGUCAAGUUUUCUAGAUUUUUGGUGUAGUUAGUGUCAGUAUUAUUCGAAAAAAAUAUUGUCUUUAGGUUUCUGUUAGUAUUAUUUUGUAACAUUUGAUAAGGUCUUAUUUGGAAUAAAAUUUCUGUUAAU